rnacentral:rRNA from 1 species
GUUGAUCCUGGCUCAGGAUGAACGCUAGCGGCAGGCUUAACACAUGCAAGUCGAGGGGCAUCGGGAGUAGCAAUACUGCCGGCGACCGGCGCAAGGGUGCGUAACGCGUGAGCAACAUGCCCGUAUCAGGGGGGAUAAUCCAUGGAAACGUGGUCUAAUACCCCAUAGUAAUUAUGUAAGGCAUCUUAUAUAAUUUAAAGCUUUGGUGGAUACGGAUUGGCUCGCGUGACAUUAGCUGGAUGGUAAGGUAACGGCUUACCAUGGCUACGAUGUCUAGGGGUUCUGAGAGGAAGGUCCCCCACACUGGAACUGAGACACGGUCCAGACUCCUACGGGAGGCAGCAGUGAGGAAUAUUGGACAAUGGAUGGAAAUCUGAUCCAGCCAUGCCGCGUGCAGGAAGACCGGCCCUAUGGGUUGUAAACUGUCUUUUGUAUGGGAGCAAUAAGGGCUACGUGUAGUCCGAUGAGAGUACCAUACGAAUAAGCACCGGCUAACUCCGUGCCAGCCGCGGC